AGACCCACGGUGCGCACGCGCCUCUCUUCGUCUGAGUAGGAGUAUGUGGGCGUGACCAGGGGUGGGUCCUGGGGAAUGGGCGUGUCCUCAGCGCAGUCACGCCCUUCCCAAGCUCUCCUGGUUGUACUUUCAGCUGAGGGCGCUGCGGUGGCCUGGCUCGGUUGAGUCUUAGAGUCGUCGGCUUUGCGAGGUGCGCUAUUUGUCCCGAGGGCAGAGAGAAUUCGCUUGGUCUCAUCCGGGACUUGCUGAGCAUCACGACGCCAGGCAUUCCUGUUGCCGGGUGUUGUACGGUCCCGGGAUGUGGGCGGAGCUGGCCGCAGGUCUGGUCCUGCAGGACAGAGCCAGAGGACAGAGCACUGGCCUCCAGGAGUGGGGAUGGAUGCAGGACCUGAAGGUGCUCUCCGUUCCGUGUAGGGCUCUAGCGCUGGAGCAGCGAGCAGCUUAGGAGUCAGAGGACCAGGUGCCCCACGGAGCUCUGAGCUUUCCUGAAAAUACUUAGGACUUGUGUCCAAUCGUGGAGAGAUCUUUAAAGUCCGGGAGUACCUUGGGAGCUGGAGAGAGGGCUCAGCGGUUAAGAGCACUGACUGCUCUUCCAGAGGUCUUGAGUUCAAUUCUCAGCAACCACAUGGUGGCUCAUAACCAUCCCAUACCCUCUUCUGAUGUGUCUGGAGAAAGUGAUAGUGUACUCACAUACAUAAAAUAAAUAAUUAAAAAAAAAAAAAAAAAA
rnacentral:lncRNA from 1 species